AGGGGGAGGGGCACAGAGAGAGAAGGAGACACAGAACUGGAAGCAGGCUCCAGGUCUGAGCCUGACACAGGGCUCUAACUCACGAACCAUAAGAUCAUGACCUGAGCCGAAGUUGCACGCUUAACUGACUGAGCCACCUAGGCGCCCCUGUUUUAAUUUUUAAUUUAAAUACAAAAGUGAUAUAAAAUGUUUUCCAAUUAAACACAACUUUACAGUUUGGGUAUAACUACAUUUCUUUUUUUUGUUUCAAUAUAUGAAAUUUAUUGUCAAAUUGGUUUCCAUACAACACCCAGUGCUCCUCCCAAAAGGUGCCCUCCUAAAUACCCAUCACCCACCCUCCCCCCCCCCCCCAUCAACCCUCAGUUUGUUCUUAGUUUUUAAGAGUCUCUUAUGCUUUGGCUGUCUCCCACUCUAACCUCUUUUUUUUUUUUUUCCCCUUCCCCUCCCCCAUGGGUUUCUGUUAAGUUUCUCAGGAUCCACAUAAGGAAAUACAUUUCACCAUAACCACUGAAAAUUUAGCAUCCAAACUGAAAAGUGCUAUAACAAUAUGUAUCAGAUUUUGAAAACUCAGUAUGAAGAUAAGAAUGUAAAAUACUUCCAUUUAUAUUAUUACAUGUUGAAAUAAUAUUUUAGAUAUAUUGGUUAAUGGAUAUUAUACUUAAUUUCAACUGUUUCCUUUUACUUUCUAAACUGUGUACAAAAGAAAUUUUUAAAUUACACAAGUGGCUUGCAUUAUAUUACCUUUAGAUUCAAAUACCGUUAUAUUAUGCAGCCUCUCACAGUAUGUGGUCUGAAAAAGUCAUACUGCCAAAUCUCAAGACUUAGUUCUCACCACUCCAAGAGAUUGGAUUCUCAGGAAAAACUCCCUGCCCUUGUUCACACAGACCUCUCUUCACAAACUCCAAUCAUAUUCCUACUCCUAAAAUGUCUUACUGACUAAAAUCAAUGAAACCAUUUCCUACCUUCCUUUGUUUGAAAAUCAAGUCUGUGAAUAAAAUCAAAGGUGUCUGGUGUGUUAUUCUACCUAACCACCAGUCUCUUCCUUGACAAAACACACUCUAAAGUCCUUAGUUUAUCCUCGAAGAGUUCAACUAGUUCUAUUUCUGUACCAUCUUUAGGAAAGAAAACAGCACAUGAGGAAACUGAAUAAUUACCAAUAUGUAUAUGAAUAUUAACUGGGAAGGAAAAGGAAAAGCACUGGAAAAGAAGGGGACCCAUCCCUAUGGUCCUGUUAUUAACUGGGAAGGGGCAACCACCUAGGGAUCAGGUAAAUGGAUGGGUCACAAUUAGGUCAUACAAUCUAGAAGGAAAGCAAAUAUUUUAUGUUCUGUAAAGCAAAUAUAUAUGACAGAACAAAAAGUAAACACGAACUGACCUUGAACGCGCUGUUAAGUAGCAACACUCUCCUCUACUUCAGGAGGCUUCUCUUGCAGAACUACAAGACCAAGAAGGGACCCUUGAGGUUCUGGACAGGCUAAACAACACACUGUCCACCAUCAGACAUGACCCAUGACCCACCACAAAUAUAUCUAGAUGGAAUAAGAGAUAAAUAGAAUACUGCUGACUUUUAACAGUGUCACACUUAAAGGCCAUACCUAUAAACAGCGCUGGAAUCUAAGUUCACAGCAGUUUCUAGGGGGCACACUGUGGUUCUGAAAGCAAUGACUUCCCCUCUGAUGUCUAUUUCUUUAUAGAUAGAUCAAACUGGCUCUAAGAUGUAAGAACAGAGGAGAAUCCAGGGAAACACUUCCAAGUAACCAUGGAACCUACAGUGGACCCUGGGUGGGCAACACUCGCUUCCCCAAUAUCCCCUCUGUGUGAAGCACUCCUACAGGUUUACUGGGGAAAUUUUAAAAAAUCCUACCCACUGCGUUCAAACUUACAGUCGGUUACAACCCAGCUGUCACAGGAUCACUCGGUCACAGUAUCAGACACCUUUCGUCACCGUAGACUGUGUACUGACAGUCCCACUAGCCUUAUCGUAUACCAGUCUGGGCACUCCAGGGCCUGUCACACACACUCUCACACGCAUGCAGGCGUGUGCACUAAGAGUUCACAACGAACUUGUCACAGACAAUAACGCCCGAAACCACCGUCGUGCGAGGUUUACGCAAACACCGGGACAAGGCUCCUGGCUCCAUCUGCCUUACCCGCGCCCCGGGAGCUUAGGACCUCCAUACCGCGAGCUCCUCCCGUAACCCGACCUGGAUCACCUUAACUCACCAGGCAAAACCCAAUAACCACGAAGAUACCGGAAGCGGAACCAAAAGUCGAAGUCCAUUCGUGGCCCUGGGGCCUGUGGGAAACGUAGUCCAACACUAAAAAAAAAUGUUCUGGUUUUCGAGCGCGGCAGAGUACAACCUUCGCGAAUUUCACGUCACGCGCCCGAAACUCCUGAGAGUUCCGGGUGGGCUGAUCUUUCGUCCUCCGCGGAAGGUUGCCGGUGGCGGUUCUUAAAACAUGAAAGAGCCGGGUGAUGGUUUCGUGGGAGCGAGAGGUCUUUGCAUGAACUAGAGCCCAAGCCGAGAAAGUAAUCGGAAACCUGGGCAGGGAGGAAAGUAAAGGGAAGCGGAAGCCUGCCAGAGGCGGGGCAAGGAGGAAAACGGAGGCAGCCUGAGUCUGGGAAGACCGGGAGAGAACCGGAAACCCUAACCCAGGAGCGUUGAGGGAAUCGGAUCCAGGUUGAGGAGGGCCCGGGAGGCAAUCGAAUCCGUGCUGAGGGAUGUCGGGCAGAGAAGGGCUGAGGAGGGUACUGCAGUUCGGGCGGGAAGGCUGAGACUCACUGGAGAAUUUCUAAAGGAUGUACAUCAGCAAGAAGUAAGUUAAACCUGGAAAGACUGAAUGAGAUAAAAUCGGUAACUCAACUCAUAGGGGCGCCUGGGUGGCGUGGUCGGUUAAGCGUCCAACUUCAGCCAGGUCACGAUCUCGCGGUCCGGGAGUUCGAGCCCCACGUCAGGCUCUGGGCUGAUGGCUCAGAGCCUGGAGCCUGUUUCCGAUUCUAUGUCUCCCUCUCUCUCUGCCCCUCCCCCGUUCAUGCUCUGUCUCUCUCUGUCCCAAAAAUAAAUAAACGUUGAAAAAAAAAAUUAAAAAAAAAAAA